rnacentral:rRNA from 1 species
CGGGUGAGUAACACGUAUGCAACCUGCCUGUAAGAGGGGAAUAACCCGUUGAAAGACGGACUAAUACCGCAUAAUACUAAAUUACUGCAUGGUAAUUUAUUUAAGCAUUUAUGGCUUACAGAUGGGCAUGCGCAUGAUUAGCUAGUUGGAGAGGUAACGGCUCCCCAAGGCAACGAUCAUUAGGGGUUCUGAGAGGAAGGUCCCCCACACUGGUACUGAGACACGGACCAGACUCCUACGGGAGGCAGCAGUGAGGAAUAUUGGUCAAUGGACGAGAGUCUGAACCAGCCAAGUCGCGUGCAGGAAGAAUGUCCUAUGGAUUGUAAACUGCUUUUGCAGGGGAAUAAAGUGCAUCACGUGUGAUGUUUUGUAUGUACUCUGCGAAUAAGGAUCGGCUAACUCCGUGCCAGCAGCCGCGGUAAUACGGAGGAUCCGAGCGUUAUCCGGAUUUAUUGGGUUUAAAGGGUGCGUAGGCGGGAUAAUAAGUCAGUGGUGAAAGUUUGCAGCUUAACUGUAAAAUUGCCGUUGAAACUGUUAUUCUUGAGAGUAGAUAAGGUAGGCGGAAUGUGUUGUGUAGCGGUGAAAUGCAUAGAUAUAACACAGAACCCCGAUUGCGAAGGCAGCUUACCGGGCUACAUCUGACGCUGAUGCACGAAAGCGUGGGGAUCAAACAGGAUUAGAUACCCUGGUAGUCCACGCAGUAAACGAUGAAUACUAGCUGUAUG